ACGGUUGGUGCGUCUGCACAGCCCCUGAGGUGCGAACCCUGUGACUCCUCAGUACCCCUCUUCUCCUUCCCCAACGUUCAUCCCUAUCCCCUUCUUCCCUGCCUCAGACCAUCAUCACGCUACCACCCUGCGCCGCCAGCAACCCUAAUCGCCGGCGCCACCAACCAACACCACCACCCCACCUCUCGGCCAACCAGCCCCACGCCGCCGUCCAGCCUCCUUUCUCUACCCUCAGCCAUACCAACCUCUUCUCUUUUCUCCGUCGAAACCCAGUUUUCUUCGCGCCAGCCCCUGCUUCACCCCGAACCAGCCUCCAGUCACCGCGUCUAGCCUCCUCCCUUCACCCACAACUGCCGGCGAGUUCUUUCCCCCGUGGUCUGAACCCUAGCCUAUCUUCUUCUUCUCAUUACAUCUUCUCGGAGCCAACCAACGUCCACCAUCAGCUUUAUCAUCGAGUCUCAUCAUCACCACUGAACCGCCGUUUCCUCUUCCCCUGACCACUGAUCCAUAGCCCCGCCAUCUUCCCCCUGACCCUCUCGUUCUUUAUGGGUUGAAGAACAGAGCAAGUACAAGCUCUUGUUCUCUUCGUCUCAAGCGAAUUCCAGCUGCUGCGACGUAUCCCCUGUUUCUCGGCCCUGUGCCGCUUUCCCUCUCUGACGAAGACCUUGGCCAGCCAUGCUGCCACUGCGCCACUGCGCCACUAGACCGGCUGUGUUUGUUCUGGCCAUUAGCUCACCAUCAUCAACCUUCUUCUUCCCCUUUCCCUUCCUGCUCCAAUUUUCUGCUUCCCAGUGCCACCAUCACUCUCGCAGCCACUUUUGUAUGGUGACACAGUGACGACUCCUUCCACUCCGCAUGAUCGUGAGCACCGAGGACGGUGCUACAUUUUAAGUUUGGGGAGGUUGUGCAUCUUCAGCAAGCGCAUUUUGGGUGACAAGCUUCAUUUCCGAACACUUUUAGUGUACUUUCUUUUUAUGUUUUUUUUGGUACUUUGUAUAUAUUUUAUCCUUUUGAGAAACUUUUUACUUAGUUUAUUGCACUUUCUUAGUUUAUUGUACUUUUAAAUUUUGCUUGUACAUAACUUAGUAUUAUAUAGUAGUUAUGCAUAUUUUGACAUUUUGCUUUUAAUUUUAGCUUUUACAUAUGCUUUUUGGUUUUUAGGCUUGAUUGUGAUUUUGGAUGAUGUAAUGAUUGCAUCUCAGUUUGAAUUCCUAUAUACUUGCUAUUUUGGUUUGAUUGAAAUUAGGAAUUAAACUUAGGAUUUUUGACCUUUUUCAUCCAAUCACAUUAUAUACAUAUAUGGAAUAAAUGUUAGUCAAUUUAAUGAAAUUUCCAAGAAACCUACUUUUUAUAGGGUAUUGAAAUUCAAAUUGAAUUGAGUUGAAAUUUUUUUGAAACUUGUAUGAUUCAUACAUUGUGGAAUAUGGUUUUUGAGUUAAAGAACACAUAACUUGUGAGAUUUUAAGCCUUAUUGUGUGGUUGCAUUAUUCAACCACUUUAUUCUUGUGUGUUGCUCUUCUCUAUGAUUACAAUCUUUGGUUUGUUUAAUUCUAUAUAUCCAUUGUUUAAUGUAUAUUUAUGCAAGUAUGUGAUUGAGACCAUUAUUCCUUUAUAACUCACUUAACCCAAAAAGCCUACCAUUUCAUUUACGUUUGCUUACCACUUUGAGCCUUUUAAUUCCCUUUUGUUCUUGAUUGAGCACACCACUAGCUAUAAGCGGAAAAAUAAUGAAUGUUCCUAUUUUGAAUCUUUGAAUAGCUUAAGUUAGUGAGAGUGUUAACUAAGUGGGA